rfam:Schistosoma mattheei strain Denwood, Zambia genome assembly, scaffold: SMTD_scaffold0002446
GUCUAACUGACGAGUCUCAAAUAGGACGAAAUGUGAGUCCUGGAU